AGACCCGAAACCCGGUGAUCUAGCCAUGGGCAGGUUGAAGGUUGGGUAACACUAACUGGAGGACCGAACCGACUAAUGUUGAAAAAUUAGCGGAUGACCUGUGGCUGGGGGUGAAAGGCCAAUCAAACCGGGAGAUAGCUGGUUCUCCCCGAAAGCUAUUUAGGUAGCGCCUCGUGAAUUCAUCUCCGGGGGUAGAGCACUGUUUCGGCUAGGGGGCCAUCCCGGCUUACCAACCCGAUGCAAACUGCGAAUACCGGAGAAUGUUAUCACGGGAGACACACGGCGGGUGCUAACGUCCGUCGUGAAGAGGGAAACAACCCAGACCGCCAGCUAAGGUCCCAAAGUCAUGGUUAAGUGGGAAACGAUGUGGGAAGGCCCAGACAGCCAGGAUGUUGGCUUAGAAGCAGCCAUCAUUUAAAGAAAGCGUAAUAGCUCACUGGUCGAGUCGGCCUGCGCGGAAGAUGUAACGGGGCUAAACCAUGCACCGAAGCUGCGGCAGCGACGCUGAUGCGUUGUUGGGUAGGGGAGCGUUCUGUAAGCCUGCGAAGGUGGCCUGUGAGGGUUGCUGGAGGUAUCAGAAGUGCGAAUGCUGACAUAAGUAACGAUAAAGCGGGUGAAAAGCCCGCUCGCCGGAAGACCAAGGGUUCCUGUCCAACGUUAAUCGGGGCAGGGUGAGUCGACCCCUAAGGCGAGGCCGAAAGGCGUAGUCGAUGGGAAACGGGUUAAUAUUCCCGUACUUGGUGUUACUGCGAAGGGGGGACGGAGAAGGCUAUGUUGGCCGGGCGACGGUUGUCCCGGUUUAAGCGUGUAGGUGUGUGUUCCAGGUAAAUCCGGUUCACUUUAACACUGAGGCGUGAUGACGAGGCACUACGGUGCUGAAGCAACAAAUGCCCUGCUUCCAGGAAAAGCCUCUAAGCAUCAGGUAACAUCAAAUCGUACCCCAAACCGACACAGGUGGUCAGGUAGAGAAUACCAAGGCGCUUGAGAGAACUCGGGUGAAGGAACUAGGCAAAAUGGUGCCGUAACUUCGGGAGAAGGCACGCUGACACGUAGGUGAAGUGAUUUACUCAUGGAGCUGAAGUCAGUCGAAGAUACCAGCUGGCUGCAACUGUUUAUUAAAAACACAGCACUGUGCAAACACGAAAGUGGACGUAUACGGUGUGACGCCUGCCCGGUGCCGGAAGGUUAAUUGAUGGGGUCAGCGCAAGCGAAGCUCCUGAUCGAAGCCCCGGUAAACGGCGGCCGUAACUAUAACGGUCCUAAGGUAGCGAAAUUCCUUGUCGGGUAAGUUCCGACCUGCACGAAUGGCGUAAUGAUGGCCAGGCUGUCUCCACCCGAGACUCAGUGAAAUUGAACUCGCUGUGAAGAUGCAGUGUACCCGCGGCAAGACGGAAAGACCCCGUGAACCUUUACUAUAGCUUGACACUGAACAUUGAGCCUUGAUGUGUAGGAUAGGUGGGAGGCUUUGAAGUGUGGACGCCAGUCUGCAUGGAGCCGACCUUGAAAUACCACCCUUUAAUGUUUGAUGUUCUAACGUGGACCCGUGAUCCGGGUUGCGGACAGUGUCUGGUGGGUAGUUUGACUGGGGCGGUCUCCUCCUAAAGAGUAACGGAGGAGCACGAAGGUUGGCUAAUCCUGGUCGGACAUCAGGAGGUUAGUGCAAUGGCAUAAGCCAGCUUGACUGCGAGCGUGACGGCGCGAGCAGGUGCGAAAGCAGGUCAUAGUGAUCCGGUGGUUCUGAAUGGAAGGGCCAUCGCUCAACGGAUAAAAGGUACUCCGGGGAUAACAGGCUGAUACCGCCCAAGAGUUCAUAUCGACGGCGGUGUUUGGCACCUCGAUGUCGGCUCAUCACAUCCUGGGGCUGAAGUAGGUCCCAAGGGUAUGGCUGUUCGCCAUUUAAAGUGGUACGCGAGCUGGGUUUAGAACGUCGUGAGACAGUUCGGUCCCUAUCUGCCGUGGGCGCUGGAGAACUGAGGGGGGCUGCUCCUAGUACGAGAGGACCGGAGUGGACGCAUCACUGGUGUUCGGGUUGUCAUGCCAAUGGCACUGCCCGGUAGCUAAAUGCGGAAGAGAUAAGUGCUGAAAGCAUCUAAGCACGAAACUUGCCCCGAGAUGAGUUCUCCCUGAGACUUUAGGUCUCCUGAAGGAACGU
rnacentral:rRNA from 1 species